rnacentral:tRNA from 1 species
GGAGAGAUGGCCGAGUGGACGAAGGCGUCAGAUUGCUAAUCUGUUGUAUGAUAUUUUCAUACCGAGGGUUCGAAUCCCUCUCUCUCC